rnacentral:rRNA from 1 species
CUGGUAGCGUAAUAACCAGCCUUCUAAUUAGAGGCCAGUGAAAGGCAACACAUGGGACCACCUAUAUCUAAUGUGCCAAAAGAAUUUUACCUUUGAGUGAAAAGGCUCAACUAAUCAAAAAAGACGAAAAGACCCCGCGGAGCUUUACUCAAAAGUUACAGACCAUAUAAACUCAACACCAAAAGUUUGGUUGGGGCAACCUUGGAACAAAUAAUCUUCCAAUUCUAUCUCUCUGCAAUAAAAUACAAAACCUUUACGGACUAAAAAGAAGCUACCCCGGGGAUAACAGCGUAAUCCAACUAAAA